rfam:Gossypium hirsutum cultivar TM-1 chromosome 10, whole genome shotgun sequence
UGUUAAAAUUUUCUUUAUUUUUACCACUAAAAAACGGAUGCGGCUAAUAUGAUAACAAGAUAAUUGCUAGUGGUGUACCAUAUAUACUUUAUUUUGACAUACAGAAACUAAUUUUUAAUCGUAGAAAUGAAUAAAAAUUUUAACA